AUGGAUCUUCAGUGUGAGGAACUGGUGCUUUCUCUGGAGUGCUGGGGGAUAGAGAAACUAAUUUGCCCUUGUGAAACUGGUCAACUGCUGAACUGCUUUCUUGGCCUCUCCAUGGAGGAGAGGAUUAAUCAGCUAAUUGUUCAAUUUAAUCAAUAUGGGCAGCCACAUUUAACACAGAAUGCCCAGAUUAGAUGGUUCAGUUUUUGGCAGGAGUCCAGGGGGGAGAUACAGAAUCUCUGUUUCUCUUUCUCACUUUCUCUUUCUCCCUUUCCUCUUUACAAAUGGAUUCUUCUCGGGGCCAGAGCCAUGGCUCACUUGGCUAACCCUCCACCUGCGGCACCCGGUAUUCCAUAUGGGCGCCAGGUUCUAGUCCCUGUUGCUCUUCUUCCAGUCCAGUUCUCUGCUGCAGCCUGGGAGGGCAGUGGAGGAUGGCCCAAGUGCUUGGGCCCCUGUACCCACAUGGGAGACCAGGAAGAAGCACCUGGCUCUUGGCUUCGGAUUGGCUCAGCGCCAGCCAUAGCGGCCAUUUGGGGAGUGAACCAACGGAAGGAAGACCUUUUCCUCUGUCUCUCUCUCUCACUGUCUAAUUUUAUCUGUCAAAUAAAAAAAAUUUAAAAAAAAAGAAUGUAUUCUUCUCAGAGUAGCAAUAUGCUUUAAUGUUUCAUUCUAAAUUUCCCACAGCCCCUGUGAUAGUUAAUUGUGUGGUGUACCAAGGCUGUGGUGCUAUAUAUAUGUGAAUAUAUAUAUAUAUAUAUAUACACACACACACACAUAUAUCCUAAUGGUUAUGCUGGUUAUGUUUUUCUGGAAAACUCCAACUAAUACAGCUCCUCAUCAUUUUCUUAGCUGCUUCCAUCCUUUUUUCUCUUUUCAAAUAACUUUAGAAGAGCACUGUUGAAAUUCAAGAGCUGCAAACUGG
rnacentral:lncRNA from 1 species